AGAGUUUGAUCCUGGCUCAGAACGAACGCUGGCGGCGCGUCUUAAGCAUGCAAGUCGAACGGCAAGGCAGGUGCUUGCACCUGCCCUAGAGUGGCGGACUGGUGAGUAACACGUGGGUGACAUGCCUUUUAGUUGGGGAUAGCUACUAGAAAUAGUAGAUAAUACCGAAUGUGAUCAAUAUUUAUAGAUGAUGUUGAGGAAAGGAGCUAAGGCUUCGCUAAAAGAUUGGCCCGCGGCCCAUUAGCUAGUGGGUAGGGUAAAGGCUUACCAAGGCGAUGAUGGGUAUCCGGCCUGAGAGGGUGAUCGGACACAUUGGGACUGAGAUACGGCCCAGACUCCUACGGGAGGCAGCAGCUAAGAAUAUUCCACAAUGGACGAAAGUCUGAUGGAGCGACGCCGCGUGGAUGAUGAAGGCCGAAAGGUUGUAAAAUCCUUUUACACUGGAGGAAUAAGCAGAGUAGGGAAUGACUCUGUGAUGACUGUACAGUUUGAAUAAGCAACGGCUAAUUACGUGCCAGCAGCCGCGGUAACACGUAAGUUGCGAGCGUUGUUCGGAAUUAUUGGGCGUAAAGGGCAUGUAGGCGGAUUUGCAAGCUUGAUGUGAAAUCCCGCAGCUUAACUGCGGAACUGCAUUGGGAACUGCAAGACUAGAGUUACUGAGGGGAAACUAGAAUUCCAAGUGUAGGGGUGAAAUCUGUAGAUAUUUGGAAGAAUACCAAUGGCGAAGGCAAGUUUCUGGCAGAUAACUGACGCUGAGGUGCGAAGGUGCGGGGAGCAAACAGGAUUAGAUACCCUGGUAGUCCGCACAGUA
rnacentral:rRNA from 1 species